rnacentral:rRNA from 1 species
AGACCGGUUUAUUGGUCGUGCUUUUGUACGUACUGGUCAAAUUGGUUUCUCCUUUCUGAUGAAUCACGAUGUCAUUAAUUUGGUGUCAUGGGGAAUCAGGACUGUUACUUUGAAAAAAUUAGAGUGUUUAAAGCAGGCUUACGCUUGAAUACAUUAGCAUGGAAUAAUGAAAUAGGACGUUUAAUUCUAUUUUGUUGGUUUCUAGGAUUGACGUA